rnacentral:lncRNA from 1 species
AAAAAAAAAAAAAAAAAAGAAAGAAGCAGGACUGGUGACAGGACAGGAGAGCCACAGCCUCAGGGAAAAUCUUGAGGUGAGCUGUACAGCAGAGGGCAGAUGAGAUGCUGGCAGAGAAUUUCAGAACUCCUCAUAAAAUAUACGGUUUUUCCUUGGCAGCAGAUCCAAACUCCAAGUGGCUGAGACACCUGAUACCACCCCCAGCCCUGCUGAUUGGGUCAAGCCUAGCAAGGUCCUAUACACAUGUUCACUCUGACCAAUAAGUCAGGCUCGUUCUAGGCUCUAAGGAAACCUUGACCUGCCCCUACAACUGCAGGAAGGAAAGCCUGAAGGCAGGUGACAUUAGAAACAGCCACCAUGACAUCAUGCAGAAACCAGAACUUGUAACCAGCUUUCUUUUUCAGGUUCCCUUGAAAGAGUUUUCAUCUGAUUUCUUUUCUUUUUUUUUUUCAAGAGGCGGGCUCUCACUCUCUUAUCCAGGCUGGGGUGCAAUGGUGUAACCAUGGCUCAUUGCAGCCUUGAACUCCUGGGCUCAAGCGAUCCUCCUGCCUUGGCCUCCCGAGUCACUCGGAUUAUAGGAGCCCACUACCACACCUGGCCAUUUUCAUCUGAUUUCUAACUGCCUCUUUCUUCCGUAAAAUACAAUCUGAUUCAGAAGCAUAUUGUCUGCAGGGAGUGGGGUACAUAAACCCCCAAAACACAGUAGGAGAGUCUUGCUUAGGAGUACCCAGCAGCCUUUCCCCUAAUGCUUUUACAUUAAGAUGGUUUCAAUUAAUCUUCAAGUGGUUUCAUUUUAUGAAAGGUGAUAUAACUUUCUAGGAUGUAAGGAGAAGUAUAUUGGGUUCCACUCAUACUCUCAUGCCCAGAGUGAAUACAGGCCCAAGCAGGCUGGGCUUUUUUUUUUGAAACGGAGUUUCGCUCCGUUGCCCAGGCUGGAGUGCAGUGGCACAAUCUCAGCUCACUGCAACCUCCGCCUCCCAGGUUCAAGCAAUUCUCCUGCCUCAGCCUCCCGAGUA